rnacentral:tRNA from 1 species
GGGGGUAUAGCUCAGUGGUAGAGCACCUGUCUAGCAUACAAGGCCCUGGAUUAAAUCCCUGGUACCACCA